UCUUCCCUCUCUCUCAUGGGCUUUUCAAUUCUCCGAACUUCCCCUCCUCUCUCUUCCUCCCGAGCUUUUCUCUGCAACCCCACACCCUUCCCUGCUUUUCCCAUUCUUCCCCUUCCUCUCCACUCUUCGCCCCAUUCAUUGCUCUUCAAAACCCACUUCCAAUCAUCUUCUUCCUCGCUCAUUCGUACUUCUUUCCCAAUUUCUGCAACUCCAUUCUGUGGGGCUUUUGCUCUGAGACCCCGUG
rnacentral:misc_RNA from 1 species